UUCAUUUCCUUUUAUGUCUAUGUUUGUGAAGGUUACUGAAUUUUUUUUCUUAUAAUAUUUUUGUCUGGUUUUGGUAGCAAGGUAAUGCUAACCUCAUAAAAUGAGAAGUGUUCCUUACUGUUCCUUACCGUUCAUUCACUUACUGAAAGUUUUCUUUCAUUGCCUCAUUCAGUCAACAAACACUGGUAACAUUCUAUGUGCCAGGCAUGGGGCUAGGUGUUAGAAAUACUGAAAACAAGUGAGACCUAGUUCUCUGAGGUGCUCAAGCCCUGGUUUAUGUAUACCAAUUUUACAUCUGGCACUGGAUGGUCCUUUAAUCCCUUGUGAUUUCAGAGCAUGUUGUAGUUUGAUAAAUAACUUACUCAUCCUUACAAACAUGUGCAAACUAUGGCUCAGUGGAGUUAGGAGAUUUACCUAAAGUUACAAGAGCUGAGAGGUACAGAGUAGGGACUUAAACCUGGUUUCCUGACUCCCAGUCUAGGGUCCUUUCUUUUUUUUUUAAUCCCUUUUUCCUCCCUACUCCCUCCCUGAUCCCUGCUGCAAAUGCAAACAUAUUCCCAUUCAUUACUGAUUGGCUGUAAUUUAUUAAGUUCUCACUGGGAAAACAACUUUUUCUGAUUUUUUUUCCUAUUUUUAGCCAUUAACAUUUAGUUUGGGAGCAAAACAUUUAAUGAUUUUUAAAAAGCAACAGGUCAAGUUAAUAUAUAUUAGAAAUAUAUAAAAUAAAUAAAGUUUAAAAACAACUAAACAACAAAAAAGAAAUAUAUAAAGUUAGAUAGUCAAGCAGAUAGAUGACAGGGAUUCAUUCUUCCAAUCAAACUGAUGAUGUCACUAGAGAAAAGAAGGUCAGUUAGAACCUGACAUCUGGCAGUUACAGAGAGCUGUGGCUAAGGCAUAGGGUACUCAGGGGCUGCCCCAGAGCCCUUAACCCCAAAGCAGCCAACAUCACGUGUCCAGGCUUGUGUACUAGAGACACAGGACAUCUUUGUGACUGACAGUGAUCCAAAAUGGAGAAAGACAAGCCCCCACAGCUGGUGACCCCCACAUCAGUGACAGCCAUCAUCUCGAGGAUUGAGGCUGCCCAGCUAACUCGGGCUCACGAGGAUAUUUCUUCCCAGCUCUCAGACAUCUUGGACAAUGUCGACGGUGUCAUCAACUGCUUCCAGGAAGAACUGGGAUAUGAUUUAAAAGAAAAGGUAAAAUCUCACCAGAUGGAGCAAAAGAGCAAGAACAGAUUCAUCUUGCUAGAGAAACUCGCCUCCUUCUCCAAAGAUGCUAAGACUAAAGAGAAGCACUUGUACGAAAUUCUUCACUGGCUGGGUGACUGGGGCGAUAGUCUGACAUAUGAGGUCAAGAACAGGAAGAGUGAGGAGGAAGAGGAAGGCCUGGAUGAAUGGAUUGACAUGAUGGAGAAGGUGUUACCUCUCUCCCUCGUCACCACCAAAGGAGGCAUCGAGUCUCUCAUUUCCCUUUGCUCCACGCUCAUUGAUGAACAAAAGAAGAGGGCACAAAGGUCCAAACAUACCUUUUGGCAAGACUGGCAGGAACAAGGCCCACAAAAAUCUACAUCCUUCCUUCAGCCACCGAGCCCAGAGCAGAUGCUCCAGGACAAGAAUACUACCUGCAUAACGGUCUCUGAGGUGAAGUCCAUGCUGCAGGAGCUCCUGGACUCUGCCAUGUUCAAUCAGGGGGAGGUCAGAGCCAUCAGGUACAUGUCCACUGUGGUGGAGAACCUCAACAAGGCUUUGAUCCUCCAGCACAAAGAGAACAAGAGCCUGGAGACCAAAUACAGGCAUCUGAAAAUAGAGAUGUGCAAAGAAAUCCACAGCCAGAGGCUAUACUCCCAGCAGUCCCUCCAAGUCCUCGAGAGUAAGCGGGAUGCCCUACUAAAGCAGGUGGAAAUUCUAGGGGGAAAGUACCAUGACCUUCUACUGAUAAAGCAUGCCUUAGAGUUCCAGCUAAAGAAGGCUCAGUCUGCUAGAAGUCAAGCAGAAGACCCAGUCAUGAUCUUUGCUGACUCCCUGGGCACCCCUGAGGAAGGGACCCUCCCAGGGAAAGAACCAGGCAUGGAGGAAAUCCAAUGGGAGCCCAAGAAGGAGGAGCAGUUGUUUUUACCACGUCCCAUGGCCAUAGCCAGGGACAGUGGUGCUAGGUCUUCCGCACACCAGUCACCUUCCACGAUGACCAUGCAAUCAAGGAUCGCAGAUGUGUACAGCAGCAAGGAUGCUGAAAGUCUUCAACCUGUGUUUCCAUCCUCGGUGGAUCACAAGUUUCCUAAGAAAUGGGAAAUACCAGUGGCAGAGAGCCCAGGCCACAUAGUCAAAGACCAGAAGGACUUCUUCCAGGAAGCAGCCCAGGAGAAAGAAGGACUCCAAAUUAAUUCCCAUUUUAGGGAUCAGCUGUCCCCAGAGAGCUCCAAGGAGGUGGCCUUGGAGAGCAAGGUGCAGCAGUGGGAAGAAGAACUCAGCUGGGAGAGGCGGAGGCAGCAGUGGCUGGAGGAGGAGGAGAUGUGGCUGCAGCGGCAGAAGAAGUGGGCCCUGCUGGAGCAAGAGCACCAGGAGAAGCUGCGGCAGUGGGAGAUGGAGCAGGUGGCAAAGGAGCAGCAGCAGAGAUUGGUCCAGCUGGAAAAGGAGCAAGGGGGCCCACAGAGGGAACCGGAGCAGCCAAGGGAGGAUGCGGUCAGGACGACCUUCAUGACCUCCAAUCAAUGGAGAGACUUGGAGAAGGCAUCACUGACAUCUCCCCCAAGCCGAGCCCAAUCUGCACACCAAGGCAGGAGGCCACACCUGCCCAGGUCCCCUAAUACCCAGCAGCCUGCACCUAGAACUCAGAGGACCAUGAGUUCAGCUGAUUUUACCCAGAAACCAUGGACCCGCCGUGUUCCCACAAAGCCCAAGAAAUCAGCCUCCGCUCCUGCCACAGGGCGAUCCAUCCGAAAGGUGACCCAGCCCCCUUUGCAUAUAUCCCCAAUAACACUGAAGGGGAAGGUAUACCACAUGGACGUGGAGGCCCAGAAGAGGAAUCUGCAGCUUCUGAGUGAGGGUGCUGAAUGGGGGCUGCCCCACUACCUGCGCAGCAGGGUCCUGGAGCUCACCGCCACCACCAUGGGGCUGAGCAUGCUCAGACUGCGGGGCCUGUGCCAUAAGUACAUCAUCUACAGACACUUCCAGAGCCUCCGACAAGAAGUGAUCAACCACAUACAAGCCAUGCGAGAAACUGGGGCUACCUACAAGGCCCAGAAUCUCUACAUCUUCCUGGAGAACACCGACCGCCUGCAGGACCUCCGUCUGCAGGCCUUGACGGACAUGCAGAAGGACCUGGAGGAGAAGCGCCAAAAGUGCCUGAGCAGCAUGGUGACCAUGUUCCCCAAGCUCCAGCUGGAGUGGAACAUUCACCUGCACACCCCUGUGAUCACCUCCCCAAAGUCAAGGAAAAGCAAGCUGCCCUCAUCCUUACUCCGGCGGGUCCGCUCCAGCGGCCCCUCCUGCAAGCAGCCCCCAGAGCAUCUUCCGUCCAAGCACCAGGAACGUGUGCCCCUAUGGAUGGCCCGCCAACAAGGGCACCAGAUGGAGGCCGUUUGGAAGACUGAUGUGGCCUCCUCCAGUCACCCAGUAGAAAAGAAGACCCCCACCACCCUGUCGUGGGACCAGCUAGGGGGGUGCCCAGAUAUUCCCCGGCUGUUGGCAUUGGACGUGCAUUCCUCCUACCAUAAAAGCUUGAUGUCCCUCAAGGCCCGGUGAGGUGCAAGGCUGGGAGGUUAAUCUGGAUUCAGGGAGACCUGCCCUCCAGGCCAGAGGCCAGAAUGCACACUGUCUCUGUCCAGUGGCCCAAGAGGUCUCUUUCUAACCAUUAAUAAUGACCCCCUUUAUUGUGCCACAUCACAGAGAUGCUUGCCUGCCUCAUCGGCCAUCAGCUUGGGUCCCCCUGCCAAUACCGAUCUAGUUCUCUCAAAGGACUUUCCACGGUGUCUCAGGAGAUCCCUACAGAAGUCUUUCAUUCCCACUUGUUUCUUGGGCUGCACAUGAAUUGCUCAAGAGGUGUAUCUCACCCCAGGUCGGGGGUUGUUCUCAAGGAAAGCCAGGUUCAGGAUGGAUAGAUGAGGGAGACCAAGAGGAGCCUGUCUUCAGCACUGUCAUUCCUUAAGGCCUUCAAGAACUGUCCUUGGGAAGAGAGGCUGAGGGGAGGGAGGCAGGACUCAGUGGGCCAACAAGCGACUUUUCUGGUCAGGAAGGCUCUCCUUUGCCUCUCUUGGCUAGAAGAUAACACUAUUAAAGACUCAAGGCUCUUUCAAGGCGCUUUUCUAGGUGCCCACUCCCAGCUACCUCUUGUGGCCCUGGCCCUGCCCCAGUUAAAGAUCUCUGACAGGGAGGGGACACUGAUGCCUGCCAUUCUUAGAGCUAACCAGAACCAAGAGCUGUAAGAUGCUGCCGCCAUCCUCCACACAGGGGCGUAGGUAGGACAGGGUAGCAUGGCAGCAUCAAAAAAGGCUGGUCCUUGGUUAUGCUUCUGCUCUGAUGUGGGCCUGAGAGUCCUAGUUGGACAUUAACGUUGUAGCCCACCUAGUACAUAGAUGCCUAGUUUUCAAUUUCUGGAGAGGUUCCAAGCCGUGUGUGUGUAUAUGUGUGUGUGUGUUAUUGUUGUUGUGAGUUGAUUUGGCUAUGGCAUACACAAUUAAUUGAGAACAACCAAAACAACAAUGUGGUAGAACUCAGUAACCCAGAAGUCAACUGGGCCCUGCCCACCGAGACUUGGCUAAACUUGCCCAGGGCGCCCCCAUGAUGGUGUCUCUCCUCUCCGAGUUCCUUCUCUUCUCUGUCUGCAUCCUUGCCAGUGCCUGGGCUCUACUUGGCAUCUGUUUGAACCUGAGGCCCCCAACCACUUUGUUCUUCCCACACACGUAAGUAUGUGCACAUAAAUACCCAGUGUACACACUCCACUUGACCCCGAGCAUUUCAUGGUAGUAACUUUCUAAAAGUUUAAGGGGGUGAUGGGGAAAGGGAUUCACAGUGAACAGCACCAAACAGCAGCCUCUUUUCUUCCACUCUUUCUUUGGUGUUAACACGCAGAAUUCAAAAACUCCUUCCUGCCCCAAGCAGAGCUGUUCCACCCACACCCAGGCCUCCACUGGGAUCUCAGCGUCAGGCGUAAGCACUUAUCAAAAUAUUGUUCCUGGCAAAGACAGCUUCUCCUUUCCAGGGGAAUUUAGAUGAAUACAAUUUUCUUCCCCUUUCUUCAACUCCAUACAAGUUCAUUCCCUUUAUCUCACUACCAGGUAUAGAGGCAAAGUCCUCCUUCUUCUGUCUUCUUUAUCCACAUCCCAGGUUGGCACCAUCUACCUGCGUGUCAGGCUGGGCCUCGACGUUUCAGGUGGGGGUUCCCUGAGUUGUCCUGGGAUCCCAUUAUUGUGGCAUGGCUGCCCAGGCUACCGCUGCCUCGGGGGUGGGAGUGGGGGAGCACGCAGCUUUCCUUGUGAGCGCUCUGUCUGUGACCCUCUGGAGACACACUCUGUUUUCACUCCCAAACGUGUACCUUCUCUUUGGCCGCCUGCCCCUGGCCCACCAUGAAUCCUCAAAGUGACCUGCCAUGUGGUUCCAGGUCCCUCGCCUCUUUGUAAUCCUGCCGACCUCACCUGCUUCCCUGACUGUGCUGUCCAACUCACAGCACUGUCUAGUUUCAUAAUUAGGACCGACCUCAUGCUGACUGCCCCAUUCUCCUGGUCUGCCUGGCAUUGACAGCCUGUCUCGUCUCAGGCCUGCCGGGGUGUGCUUUCAGCAUGUGGGGACGGGCUAUUCAUCUUCCCUCUGUGGUUUGGGACACUAGGAAGAUGGUGUCCCUCAAAAACCAGCAGACCUUCCCCCUCCUUCAAGAUCUUUUUCUGCUUUGCCUUACAAGCGUCUCCCCAGGGCUCUCUGUCUGACAGUGCCUCAGCAACCCAAAGAAAGGAAUGCCAGGAACCCUCAGAUGAGUCAGCUGAACUUGUUCAUGAAAAGUCAAGCGAGUUCCUG